UUUUUUUUUUUCUUCUUCUUCUUUUGAAACACAGCCUUACUCUGUUGCCCAAGCUGGAGUGUGGUGGCAUGAUCACAGCUCAUUGCAGCCUUGACUUGCCAGGCUCAAGCUAUCCUCCCACCUCAGUCUCUCAAGUACCUGGGACCACAGCUGCACAUCACCACACCUAGCUAAUUUUCAAAAAUUCUUUUGUGUAGAUGGGGUACCCCCUGUUGCACAGGCUGGUCUUGAAGUUCUAGGUUCAAGUGACCCUCCCUCCUCAGCCUCCCAAAGUGUCAGGAUUACCAGGCCUGGCUUUCAACUAACCUUUGAAUUUAAAACACUGUCUCUGAGAAAAGUAAGGGAGAGUUCUCUAUUUUGUAUGGAUCCAGGGAAUCAUGUCAGACAUCAACAUAAUACCAAGAGGAACCACGCCACAAAACUAUUAUGAUAAUGAGCUACCAUCUACUGAACACUUACUAUUUAUUGAGUACUUACUAUAAUCCAGGCAAUUAGAAUGUAUUAUCAUUCUUAAUCUUCACAUCAGUCUUAUCUGGUAGAUGAUACAGUCUCAAUUUUCAAAAGAAGAAAAUGCUUCAGAUAGGUUAGGGAACCUUCCCCGACCACACAAACUAAAACUCCUCUAUUCCAAUCAUUCUCUAUUGAAACAUGAUGACUUACUUUCUUCAUGGCGUUUUUCAUCAUCUGAAAUUAGCCUGUUCAUUUAUUUACUGGUUAACUCUCUGUGUCUCCCUCACAAAUUUAAAGUUCAGAUUAGGAACGUCACCAUCCACCUACCUCUCUAACACUAUUGCGUGGAGUGGUCUCUGGAACAUGGUGGAUACUCUAUCCAUGUCAAAUGAUAGAGUAGCAUAUUCCACAAAGAAGUAAGCGCUGAAAUAUGUAUUUAAAAAAUUUCCCCACAUAAUUCUGAUAUGCUUACCUCCCUCCCCACCACAGAUAUGUCUGAUAUAAAUAUCUACGCUGACACACUGAAGGAAAAAUAAGGCUUUUUGAAUUUUAAUAUUUUCUGAGGUGAAAAAAAGCAGAAAAUUUAUGUGAAAGCUCACUUUGACUGACAAAAGUGAUGAUGCUCUAGCAAUAGCACAGCCCAUGAAUUUGUUAGCUUGCAAUCAACCACUAAUAGCACAUUUCAAUUUUGCUGACUGGCUUUAGAGAUUACUGUUUCUGUGUUGUUUUUCACAUUAAAAUUUAUUUUCUAGCAUCAAACAGUGAGUUAGUAGCUAUGGGGAGUAAAAGGCAGGAGUAGAGGAGGUCUGUAGAAUCAACUUAAAAAAUGUUUUUUCAUUGAUUUAGUCAGUAAUGCCAUACAUUUUUUCAGAACCACGGGUGACCUUUAUAUGCAACCACCAGGUUGUUUCUCAUUUUGUUUUGUGUUUCAGAGUAUCAGUAAAACAUACAUCGUCUUAUGGAAUUCUCAGCAACUGAAGCCACCACAGAUAUGUGUUGAAUCGGUAUUCUCAAAAUGUC
rnacentral:lncRNA from 1 species